GAAGCAACUUGUUUCCAAAAGGCCCGCCGUCGUUGUCAUUUUGUGGCUGCGACAAAUCUGCGACUUCUGCGGCAGCGACAAAAAUGAGAGCCGAAGGUCAUUUUCAGCCGUGAAUUCUUUAAAGAAACUAAUGAGCGCUUUCGUUGGAACUCACCGAACGGAGCGAAAAAACAUCACUCAGCCCGCCGAGAAAGAGUCGCUAUAUUCAGGGUGAUUGAUCGUCGCCGGGGUGCAGAACCCGGCAGUGUGGCUUCUUUCCGGUGUUUUGGAAUAAUAAUGAAAUGAGAGACGGUGCUGAGAGGCGAUGGAACCAGGCACCGAGAAGAGAGGCCUCUCACACUCGGCUCCUCAGAAGGAGGUUCAGGUGAAGCGAAGGUCUCCGAGGUGGAGCUGCACCAACAGUUCACCAACAGUUUGCUGCCAAGACAGAGUCUCUCUCUUACUUUGCGCCCUCCUCCCUCCUACUUUUGAUCCGCUUCUCUCGGUCUGUCUCCUCCUGCCUCUCCUGCUCUGCCUCCCACACUUUCCCGCUGAGGGAUUCGCCCUCAGCGACCUGCGCUGUUGCUUAAACUAUGUGCAGAAGAUUUAGAACAUAUUAAAAAAGUCAUAUUCAUGCUAUUGACAUCUUGGCUGCGGAGAAAUGUUUUACCCAAUUCUAAUAGAUGCAAAUGCAUCUUGCGAGCACGUGAAGGUCAGCGAGGAGCAGAUUGUUCUCCGGCAGCUCGGAGACAAACUGAAUAUCUCACGAGAGGAAGAACGAGGUUGAAUGUGUGUUAGUUAGGAACAUUGUUAUUGUGUUUCUAAAUAGUUCUUUUCAGCUUUCAAUGUGAAUGUUCGAUGUGUGAAAAUCUCAUAUCUGUGCAAGAAAGAGAGAAAAGGUUCCGAGCGCUCAGAUGUAAACGAAGGUUUGGUUCGGUUUGAACACAAUUUAUUCCUUCUGAUAUCACAAUUAAAUCAAUUCAGUCAAUAUUCUUUCAGAAUGGUUUUUACAGCUUUCCUUUCAUUUGAAUAUUUGAAGUCAUGUGCGAUGCUGAGGUGUGCUUUAAAGUCUCACUUCGCGGCAGCUAUUUACAGCAUUGUGACAUCACUGGUGGGCGUGGCUAAAGGUGCCAUGGCAACUCAAAAAAAAGUUUCCAUUCAUCCCAAAAGAUGUUUUUUUUUUCCAUUUUGGGAUAUAUUGAAUCUUAUUUCAUUCAAUUUAUUCAUCUAUAUUGUAC
ensembl:lncRNA